GCUUAUCAUGGAGACGGUAGAUACACAAGUCCACUUGACAAUGAGUGAGCAAACAAAGGAAAGAGAUACGUGUCCCUCUUUCGGGGGUUCACAUUAAUGUUUUUGGGGUUUUUUCCUCACGAUCCGAUGUUUUGAAGUCUACAGAUCUAAAGAAACGUAUGGAAAUUAUGAAUCGAGAAGGGUUUUUGGUUUCUUAUAAAAUAAUCUACACAUACUUCUUUAACUCCCACCUCU